rnacentral:rRNA from 1 species
GGGGAGGUAGUGACAAUAAAUACUGAUACAGGGCUCUUUUGGGUCUUGUAAUCGGAAUGAGUACAAUUUAAAUCCCUUAACGAGGAACAAUUGGAGGGCAAGUCUGGUGCCAGCAGCCGCGGUAAUUCCAGCUCCAAUAGCGUAUAUUAAAGUUGUUGUGGUUAAAAAGCUCGUAGUUGAACCUUGGGCCUGGCUGGCCGGUCCCCCUCACCGGGUGCACUGAGCCAGCCGGGCCUUUCCCUCUGUGGAACCCCAUGGCC